GACGAACGCUGGCGGCGUGCCUAAUACAUGCCAGUAGAACGCUGAAGGAGGAGCUUGCCCUUCUGGAUGAGUUGCGAACGGGUGAGUAACGCGUAGGUAACCUGCCUGGUAGCGGGGGAUAACUAUUGGAAACGAUAGCUAAUACCGCAUAACAGUAGAUGUUGCAUGACAUUUACUUAAAAGGUGCAAUUGCAUCACUACCAGAUGGACCUGCGUUGUAUUAGCUAGUUGGUGGGGUAACGGCUCACCAAGGCGACGAUACAUAGCCGACCUGAGAGGGUGAUCGGCCACACUGGGACUGAGACACGGCCCAGACUCCUACGGGAGGCAGCAGUAGGGAAUCUUCGGCAAUGGACGGAAGUCUGACCGAGCAACGCCGCGUGAGUGAAGAAGGUUUUCGGAUCGUAAAGCUCUGUUGUAAGAGAAGAACGAGUGUGAGAGUGGAAAGUUCACACUGUGACGGUAUCUUACCAGAAAGGGACGGCUAACUACGUG
rnacentral:rRNA from 1 species